GGGUUGCUAGCUCAGUCGGUAGAGCAACGGACUCUUAAUCCGUAGGUCGGGGGUUCGAUCCCCCCGCAACCCA
rfam:Hydrogenobaculum sp. Y04AAS1, complete genome.